GCUGGUCUAGAGCCUCAACAUUUGAAAGAUUUAUCACAAACCCGCCCCCUCUCAUUCUGAUUUUAAUGUGCUUUUGGAGUGUCAAUCUAAUGAUAACAAUGACAGCUCUUUAUCAUCUCCAUAGAGGGUGUCUCUAUUACUUACUCUAUAUCGAUUAUUGUUUAUAUUCAUCACUGUUCCUUCAAGGACACAUGAACCAAUUAAGUUUUUUCUUUUCCUUUGUUCCAUUUAUUCUACUUGAAUUAUUCAGUAUUUAGCAUGCUUACUGUUAUUUUGUAGUAGCAGUUGUUGUGUUUUGAAAAUAAGCUAUUAGUUUAGUUGUUGUA